ACAUGCAAGUCGAGCGGAAACGACUUAUCUGAACCUUCGGGGAACGAUAACGGCGUCGAGCGGCGGACGGGNGAGUAAUGCCUAGGAAAUUGCCUUGAUGUGGGGGAUAACCAUUGGAAACGAUGGCUAAUACCGCAUAAUGCCUACGGGCCAAAGAGGGGGACCUUCGGGCCUCUCGCGUCAAGAUAUGCCUAGGUGGGAUUAGCUAGUUGGUGAGGUAAUGGCUCACCAAGGCGACGAUCCCUAGCUGGUCUGAGAGGAUGAUCAGCCACACUGGAACUGAGACACGGUCCAGACUCCUACGGGAGGCAGCAGUGGGGAAUAUUGCACAAUGGGCGAAAGCCUGAUGCAGCCAUGCCGCGUGUAUGAAGAAGGCCUUCGGGUUGUAAAGUACUUUUUAGGUGUGAGGAGGGGGUGUCGUUAAUAGCGGCAUCUCUUGACGUUAGCAACAGAAGAAGCACCGGCUAACUCCGUGCCAGCAGCCGCGGUAAUACGGAGGGUGCGAGCGUUAAUCGGAAUUACUGGGCGUAAAGUGCAUGCAGGUGGUUCAUU
rnacentral:rRNA from 1 species